GGACCCGCACAAGUAGUGGAGCAUGUGGUUUAAUUCGAAGAUACGCGCAGAACCUUACCAACACUUGACAUGUUCGUCGCGACUUUAAGAGAUUAAAGUUUUCGGUUCGGCCGGACGAAACACAGGUGCUGCAUGGCUGUCGUCAGCUCGUGUCGUGAGAUGUUGGGUUAAGUCCCGCAACGAGCGCAACCCUCACUUUUAGUUGCCAUCAUUUAGUUGGGCACUCUGAAAGAACUGCCAGUGAUAAGCUGGAGGAAGGUGGGGAUGACGUCAAGUCCUCAUGGCCCUUACGUGUUGGGCUACACACGUGCUACAAUGGGUAUCUACAACAGGAAGCAAGACGGCGACGUU
rnacentral:rRNA from 1 species